CAUGGGGCGGCCGCGCAAUGCACGCCGGGACAUCCCCCUAUUACCCGACAUUCAAACACAAAGGGCUUGUAGCGGUUCGGACUUUUGCGCAGGCGCCCUGCCCAAGACCAGACCCCCGAGUGCGCAGGCGCCAUGGGUCACUGAUGAGACUACAAAUCCAGUGGAUUAAAUUAAGCAAUUAACUUGGGAUUCAAAAAAUCAACUUCCUAGAUAUAGGAUGGGAGAAGUAUUUGGUAAGUGGAUAAUUAAUUCGAAAUCCCUCAGAUCAUGAAUUGGGAACUAUCCAAAAGCUCAAGGAUGUACAACUUGGCCAAUCAGUGUUUCUAAUCUUUUAAGAUUGAUCAAAGUGCCUCAGACACUUCCCAGCUGUGUGACCCUGGGCAAGUCACUUGACCCCCAUUGCCUAGCCCUUACCACUCUUCUGCCUUGGAGCCAAUACACAGUAUUGACUCCAAGACAGAAGGUAAGGGUUUAAAAAAAAAAAAAAAGAUUGAUCAAAGUGGGGCAAGCUAGCAGUACAGAGUCAGCCAGUCCUGGGUUCAAAUGUGGUUCAGACACUGGACAAAUCAUUUAACACUACCACCACCACCCAUGCCUAGCCCUUACCACUCUUUUGUUGUGGAACCAGUAUUUCGUAUUAAAGACAGGGUAAAGUAAAAAAAAAGUCAAAGAACAAGAACUUGCUAUUGAUUGCAACAAUUCAACCUCAAAGACAUUAUAUGACUCUUCUGGACAUUCUGCUUACAGAAGGGAAAGGAAUAGGCAUUUGCAUACCUAUUAUGUUUCAAGUACUUUGCUAAAAGCUAAGCACUUUACAAUGAUUUGGUCCUCACAAUCCUGUGAACUCAUGUACUCCACUAGUCAGCUGUGUCACCAAGAAGCAUUGGUGUGAAAGCUGGCAAAUGACACGGAACCAGAGCAGCUCUGCCUCCUCCAUUCAAAGUACCCAAGGGGGCAAUUGGUAGCUUUGUUAUUCACUUGUUUUUCAUCUGAAAUCCAACUGAGAAUGUAUACAAGAAAUCUUUAUGUGGGAGUGGUCCAUAUUCACUUCAGAGGUUCACCAAAUAAACCACUCACUCCCCCAAUAUGAAUAUAAGUCCCUUAACUAUGAUUGUUGUUCAAUCAUGUGACUUUUGGGGACCACACAGAUAAUAGGUAUAACAGGAAGGUUUUUUCCCAAGGAGAAAAUGGAAUGGUUUUCCAUUUCCUUCCCUAGUGGGUCUUUUUUCAGAAAAUCCGAAGUUGUAACCUGCCCAGAUUUACAUAAGCUAAUAUCUGGUCAUAUUCAAACUCAAGACUUCCUGACCCUAGACCUACUACUAUAUCCACUGAGCUGACUAGCUGCUUCCUUAACUAUGGGGCCUUUCUAUAUCCCCCAGCACUUAGCAAAAUACUUGGCAGAGUUAAGCAUUAGGCUUUUUAGUCAUUCUUUUAUUCCUACUAAAGCUUUACCUUCAGUCUUAGAAUUGAUAGUUUUGAUUCUAAGGUAGAAGAGGGGUAAAAGGGCUAGGCAACUGGGUUAAGUGACAACUAGAAACCUACUAGAAAUCUAUUAGGGAAAUCAGUAUAUGAUAAAUGAAAAGGAUGAGAUUCCAAUAGUUAUAAAACAAAGAUGGGCACAGACUUUAUUAACUCUAUUUAACAGAUAAAACUGAGGACCUGUGAUUCACUGUUUCGACAGCAAAAUGACAGCAAAGGUGGCUGGGAUGGGCUCUUCACCCCCUUCCCAGUCUUCUUAGGCAGUUUCCCACAAGCACAAACAUUUGUUUAAAAAUCCAGGGGGCAGCUGGGUAGCUCAGUGGAUUGAGAGCCAGGCACAGAGAUGGGAGGUCCUAGGUUCGAAUUUGGACUCAAGACACUUCCCAGCUGUGUGACCCUGGGCAAAUCACUUAACCUUAACCCCACCCCCACCCCCAUUGCCUAGCCCUUACCACUCUUCUGCCAAUUGACUCCAAAACAAAAGGUAAGGAUUUUAAAAAAAUAAAAAUAAAAAGCCCAAACUAGGGGGAAGCUAGAUGACUCGUUGACAGUCAAGCCUGGAGAUGGGAUGUUCUAGGUUCAAAUCUAUCCCCAGACACUUUGUGUAAUCUCAGGCAAGUCACUUAACCCCCAACUGCCCAGCCCUUACAACUCUUCUGCCUUGGGACCAAUGCACAAUAUUGAUUCUAAGAUGGAAGUAAGGGUUAAAAAAAAAAAGCCCAAAUGAAAUCACACCCAGAAGUGAAAAUCAAAACAUUUAUUGGAGUGUCUUGUACAAAAAAGUUUCCAGUCAUAAAACGUAUAUUACAAAUCAUUGAAAAAGACAUUUGGCAUGCAAGUAUAUUCUUUAAAAAAAAGUUUUUGAAAUGAUAAAGUCUAGAUUAUCAUAGUUCUCAAAUGCUCAGCAUGACAUCCAUCAUCUCUAUAGAAGUCUGUGGGUUCUCCCAUAACUAUUCAACUCAGUAAUUUAAACCUUUUUUUUACAGCAGUGUUCAUAAAGAAUGCAUCCAUAAUGAUCAAUGGCCACUAUAUAAAUAGAACAAAGCUAUCUAAAAGUUGUAUGGUUAAAACUACCUUCAAGUCAAAAGUCAUUAUCUUUAUGAAAAUAGUUUAAGGUGGGAAGUGAUCGUUUGCAGGCCCUUGGGCCUUUGUUUUUUUAACAGUUUAUUGCUAAAUUUAUUAAGCAUGAUAACCUGGGAAGGAAUGUUGGUCCAACCCAAUCAGUGAAGAGUCAAAGUUUUCAUGAUCUUUUGAGUUGAGCUAAUAAUACCUUUCACAAAAGUACCCCUGCCCCUCCCCCCAACCCCCAAGCCUAGGAUUUAUUUUACUCAAAGGAUCAAGCCAAGCUUCAAAACAUGCUUUUCUGGGGUCAUCACUGCUACUCUCACCUAACCACUGUUUCUUCUAGACCUUAGCAUUUCAAGAAAAAGGCAUUAUGUUUACAAAGAAUAAUUGUAUGUAAAUGUGGGCUUAUACAAAACAAGAAAAAAAUCGCCUCUGAAUUAUUUUAAAAGUGGUGUAAAGCUAAGCAUAUUUGAGGGCAAGUAAAAUUCUGUUUCCCAGGCCAUGUUCAGCAUUAAAAAAAGGUUCAUGCUGCUCAAUGUUUCCAAAUAGUCUUUAUUUCCAUUUUCUGCUAUGGGCUACCAUGCAGUCACUGACCAGCUAACCUUCCACCUAAGAGCCUCCUUCUAUGAAGCCUAAAACCAGUUCUAAAAGCAGAGAGAGCUAGGAAAGGGCUAAGACAGGAGUAAUUAGCUCCUGGACCUGCCUUACUUCCCAAGGACCCCCUUGGUCAGAAUGAUUGCUUUCCUGAGCAGCAGAGAAAAAUUGAAUGAAUAACCAAUUGGGUAAUCACUUUUCCCCAAUACAUGCAACCAGAGUCAACCAAGAAACUGUCUCCAGUUGUUCAGCCCCACUAUUGACACCUUUAUAUUUUUAUCCAAAUAGGAA